AUGCCGGGAUGGGUCCAGGCUCCUGUGUGGACUCGAUAUAUCAGAGCAACCCAAUCUUGCCGGGAUCAACCCUAAAGGGACCGGGCUACGGGGCCAGGAAUUGAAGUGAUGGGUUCAAAGAGGUAGAGUUAGCCGGGGGUGGAGUUAAUGAGGUCUCUUCCCUCUUUGGGGCUCGACGGAGGGAGGAAGCUCUGCUUGAAGCACAUGGGGCUGGCCCACCCUGUAGUCAGAGGUAGCAAGUAAUGAGGAGUCCUCCUGGAGUGCCUCAGCUUUAGCUGGGUAAGGUAGGGCGUUGUGCCAUUGUGGUCAAAUAACAUUGCACGUUCUGAACUGUUUCUUUACUAGGUUAACGUCCCUAAAACCCGCCGGACUUUCUGUAAGAAGUGUGGCAAGCACCAACCCCAUAAAGUGACACAGUACAAGAAGGGCAAGGAUUCUCUGUACGCCCAGGGAAAGCGGCGUUAUGACAGGAAGCAGAGUGGCUAUGGUGGGCAAACUAAGCCGAUUUUCCGGAAAAAGGCUAAAACUACAAAGAAGAUUGUGCUAAGGCUUGAGUGCGUUGAGCCCAACUGCAGAUCUAAGAGAAUGCUGGCUAUUAAAAGAUGCAAGCAUUUUGAACUGGGAGGAGAUAAGAAGAGAAAGGGCCAAGUGAUCCAGUUCUAAGUGUCAUCUUUUAUUAUGAAGACAAUAAAAUCUUGAGUUUAUGUUCA
rnacentral:lncRNA from 1 species